ACUCCUACGGGAGGCAGCAGUGGGGAAUAUUGCACAAUGGGCGCAAGCCUGAUGCAGCCAUGCCGCGUGUGUGAAGAAGGCCUUCGGGUUGUAAAGCACUUUCAGUCGUGAGGAAGGUAAUGUAGUUAAUAGCUGCAUUAUUUGACGUUAGCGACAGAAGAAGCACCGGCUAACUCCGUGCCAGCAGCCGCGGUAAUACGGAGGGUGCGAGCGUUAAUCGGAAUUACUGGGCGUAAAGCGCAUGCAGGUGGUUGUUAAGUCAGAUGUGAAAGCCCGGGGCUCAACCUCGGAAUAGCAUUUGAAACUGGCAGACUAGAGUACUGUAGAGGGGGUUAGAAUUUCAGGUGUAGCGGUGAAAUGCGUAGAGAUCUGAAGGAAUACCGGUGGCGAAGGCGGCCCCUGGACAGAUACUGACACUCAGAUGCGAAAGCGUGGGAGCAAACAGGAUUAGAUACCCCUGGUA
rnacentral:rRNA from 1 species